GCCAGGGUGGCGAAAUGGCAGACGCAGUGGACUCAAAAUCCACCGGUGGCAACACCGUGAGGGUUCGACUCCCUCCCCUGGCACCA
rnacentral:tRNA from 1 species